AUGCUGCGCGUCGUCUCCACCCUCCGCCCGCUCCUCCGGAGCCCCCUCCUCCCGGGCCCUAAACCCCUCCCUCGCCCCCGCCGGCCGCCGCGGCCGUUCCGCGCCCUCUCGUCCGCAGCGCCGCUCGCAGCCUCCCCGCCGAGCGCGCCCUCGCCCGCGCCCGGGGCGGUUGAGUUCAGAGAGGAGCACCUCGUCCGGUGCGCGGCGGCGAGGAGGGCGCCGCUGCGGGUGGCGGUGCUGCUGAGCGGCGGGGUCGACAGCAGCGUCGCGCUCCGCCUCCUCCACGCAGCCGGGCACAGCUGCACCGCCUUCUACCUCAAGAUCUGGUUCCAGGAAGAUUUCAGGAACUUUUGGUCCGAGUGCCCGUGGGAUGACGAUUUGAAGUAUGCACAGGCCGUGUGUGACAAGAUUGACGUGCCAUUGGAGGUGGUACAUCUAUCUGAUGAGUACUGGAACCAUGUGGUGUCACACAUGAUUAAUGAGUACCGCAACGGACGCACACCGAACCCUGAUGUUCUUUGCAACACAAGAAUAAAGUUUGGAGCUUUCUUAGAAGCAAUUGAAAAUUUGGGAUUUGAUUACAUAGCUUCUGGACAUUAUGCACAUGUAGUCCAUCCACCCUUUGAGAAUGCUGAAGGGCCAUCGGUACUCCAACUUUCGAAAGACGAGGUCAAGGAUCAAACUUAUUUCCUCUCACAUCUCUCUCAGCCCCAGCUUAGAAGGCUUCUUUUUCCACUGGGGUGUAUAACAAAGGAUGAAGUUCGCAGUCUGGCUGUUCAGAUGGACCUUCCUAACCAAGCUAGAAAGGAUUCUCAGGGGAUAUGUUUUCUUGGAAAGGUCAAAUUUAGUGAGUUUGUUCAAAGACAUAUAGGAGAAAUGAAGGGUAUACUUCUUGAGGCUGAAACUGGAGAUUACCUAGGGAUGCACCGUGGGUUUUGGUUCUAUACGAUUGGUCAACGACAAGGUUUGCGACUUUCUGGAGGACCUUGGUAUGUUGUGGAGAAAGAUGUGCAAAAUAAUGUGGUUUUUGUAUCAAGGAAUUACUAUUCACUGGAUAAGAGGAGGCGGACAUUUCGUGUUGGAUCACUAAACUGGUUUAGCGAUUCUGGGCCAUCAGACAAUGAACGCCUUAAAUGCAAGGUACGGCAUAGUCCUGAUUUCCACGAUUGCACCGUGACAAAAGAGCAAACCGAAGAGAACGGAGACGUUUUGGCGGUUCGUCUGUCCGAAGACGACCAGGGUUUAGCAGCUGGCCAGUUUGCAGCGUUCUACCGUGACAGUGCGUGCCUGGGGUCAGGCAUAAUCCUUGAUUCCUGGGACGAAAUGAGCUUCCCUGUGUGCGCAAAGGCGCUAGAAACCGCUAGGAUGGAGGACAAGUCCAAGAUGGGGAAGCCCAUAAGGAUCAUGAACCUGGAGCAUCUUGUGAAGCCAGAGCCGGAGCCUGCCAAGGUCGCUUGA
rnacentral:rRNA from 1 species